GGCCCCAUGGAAGUCUGACAACAGCCAAUAGAAGACAUGUUCUUGCACAGGAACAGGAAAUUCAAGUGCAAAGCCCAAGAGAAGGUAUAGAAACUGCCCACUCUCAACACCAUGUGGUCAGCUCCACCAGAACCACAAACCCAUGUGGUUUUGCUU